UACGUAGGGAGCGAGCGUUGUCCGGAAUUACUGGGCGUAAAGGGUGCGUAGGCGGCUGUGCAAGUCAGAUGUGAAAUCCCCGGGCUUAACUCGGGGGGUGCAUUUGAAACUGCAUGGCUUGAGUGCAGGAGAGGAAAGCGGAAUUCCUAGUGUAGCGGUGAAAUGCGUAGAUAUUAGGAAGAACACCAGUGGCGAAGGCGGCUUUCUGGACUGUAACUGACGCUGAGGCACGAAAGCGUGGGGAGCAAACAGG
rnacentral:rRNA from 1 species